CCGAGUGUCCCGGGCCCCGUAAAACGGGCUCGACCUCCCAACCCUUUGAUUACAAGACCACUGUUGCUUCGGCGGGUCGUCGGUACCCCCGCCGGGGGCUCAUAGCCCCCGAGCUACCCGCCGGAGAACCAUUUAUAAACUCUUCAAAAAAGACCAGUCUCGAAAAGAAAACAUAAAAGUUACAA
rnacentral:misc_RNA from 1 species